GCACCAGACUCCUACGGGAGGCAGCAGUGAGGAAUAUUGGUCAAUGGCCGCAGGGCUGAACCAGCCAAGUCGCGUGAGGGAUGACGGUCCUAUGGCUUGUAAACCUCUUUUGUCAGGGAGCAAAGGGCGCCACGUGUGGCGCUUUGCGAGUACCUGAAGAAAAAGCAUCGGCUAACUCCGUGCCAGCAGCCGCGGUAAUACGGAGGGUGCGAGCGUUAUCCGGAUUUAUUGGGUUUAAAGGGUGCGCAGGCGGAAUGUCAAGUCAGCGGUAAAAUUUCGGGGCUCAACCCCGUCGUGCCGUUGAAACUGGCGUUCUUGAGUGAGCGAGAAGUAUGCGGAAUGCGUGGUGUAGCGGUGAAAUGCAUAGAUAUAACGCAGAACCCCGAUUGCGAAGGCAGCCUUCCGGCGCCCUACUGACGCUGAGGCACGAAAGUGCGGGGAUCGAACAGGAUUAGAUACCCGGGUACCC
rnacentral:rRNA from 1 species